CUGGGUGCAACAUCACAGAUAAGAAACAGCGAUGCCCUCGCCAGGCCGGGCCCAGUCUGGGCGCCCCAUCACUUCAGCCUCGUUGUCCGCCCACAGCAGGUCACAGGGCUCCGACCAGGUCCAAGGGCUGCCCUCCUCGGCUUUGCAGCUUCAGUGAGAAAAACUCGCUCCCGGUGGUGAAGGGUUAGAUGUGCAGGAGCGGGAGCAGGGGGACCACUGAGACCCCUUCGCACCUCCCCGAGGGAGGCAGGUGGCACCGCCAGCGGGAGUAGAGAGGGUGCUGGAGCCGACCCUGAGUAAGGGCGUGUGUACAAGUUCCUUUGUUUGGGAGGUGAUGCCAAGACACACCGAGGAGGGAGUCGGACAAUGAGCAGUGAUGUGAAGGUGAACUGGUUUUCUGAAAUAAAUAAAUAAAUAAGUGAAAUCCC